rnacentral:rRNA from 1 species
GUGGAUUAGAUACCCGGGUAGUCCACGCCGUAAACGAUGAGUACUAGGUGUAGGAGGUAUCGACCCCUUCUGUGCCGAAGCUAACGCGAUAAGUACUCCGCCUGGGGACUACGGCCGCAAGGCUAAAACUCAAAGGAAUUGACGGGGGCCCGCACAAGCAGCGGAGCGUGUGGUUUAAUUCGAUGAUACGCGAAGAACCUCACCCAGGUUUGACAUGCAUGUGGUACUGAUGUGAAAGCUGAUGGACCCUUCGGGGAGCAUGCACAGGUGUUGCAUGGCUGUCGACAACU